rnacentral:ncRNA from 1 species
AACACCUGUUUUAACAGAAGGUCUUGGUCUUAAACCUCUUGUUAUCUAUACUCUAUACUUAUACAUGCAAGCCUCAACACGACAGUGAAACAGCCCACCACUAACCCCACAAGGAGCUGAUAUCAGGCCAACCACCCACGACAUCAAGCAAACAAGCCACACCCCCACGGGUCCACAGCAGUAGAUGAUAUUGGGCAAUAAGCGCAAGCUCGACCCAGCAAUAGAGCCCCAGGGCCGGUUAAUCUCGUGCCAGCGACCGCGGUUACACGACAGGCCCAAGACAACACCACCGGCGUAAAGCACGACUAAAAUCAAGUUACCCCAUUAAGGAUGAAGAAAGACUUAGCUGUAAAAAGCCAUAAGUCCCACUAAUCAUAGACCCUAAUAUCAGACAACUUCAACUCGUGAAAGUCAGGACACAAACUAAGAUUAGAUACCUUACUAUGCCUAACCGUAACAAAACAAUCAAACUACUAAUUGUUCGCCAAAUAACUACGAGUAAAAACUUAAAAUUUAAAAGACUUGACGGUACUUCACACCAACCUAGAGGAGCCUGUCUACUAACCGAUAACCCACGAUCAACCCAACCCACUCUAGCCCAACAGUCUAUAUACCGCCGUCGCCAGCUUACCUUGUGAAAGAACCAAAGCAAGCCAAAUAACCCCCAUUAACACGACAGGUCGAGGUGUAACUAAUGAGUUGGACCAAGAUGGGCUACAUUUUCUAACCCAGAAAAAACGGAUAAACUAUGAAACUAGAAACUGAAGGUGGAUUUAGCAGUAAGUUGGGGAUAGAUAUACCCAGCCGAAAUUAACGCAAUGAAGUGCGCACACACCGCCCGUCAUCCCUGAAAAAACCUCUUUAUUAUUCAUAAACACCACUCUUUAUCAAAGCAGGGCAAGUCGUAACAUGGUAAGCGUACUGAAA